rnacentral:lncRNA from 1 species
AGCUAUUUUAAAAUUAUUCAACAUAAUUUUUAAAAGACUGUCUAGGUUUCAGUUUUCAUCUUACGAGGUUUUGGACAAAUCCUUUCCCCUUUUGGAACUCCUUUUACCCAUCUGCACAUGAGAAGUGGUUAGAAAGGGACUAGAAUCGGACCAGAUCAAUGUUUUUCACAUUGAAUUUCAGCAGAGCUCAGACCUCUCUCCCCUCUUCACCAAAAGCCCUAUAUCAUGGAGUUACAAGGAAGAUUUUAUUUGUCAGUGUUCU